UACGUAGGGUGCGAGCGUUAAUCGGAAUUACUGGGCGUAAAGCGUGCGCAGGCGGUUGUGCAAGACAGAUGUGAAGUCCCCGGGCUCAACCUGGGAAUUGCAUUUGUGACUGCACGGCUAGAGUGUGUCAGAGGGGGGUAGAAUUCCACGUGUAGCAGUGAAAUGCGUAGAGAUGUGGAGGAAUACCGAUGGCGAAGGCAGCCCCCUGGGAUAACACUGACGCUCAUGCACGAAAGCGUGGGGAGCAAACAGG
rnacentral:rRNA from 1 species